AGCAAUUGACGUUACCCGCAGAAGAAGCACCGGCUAACUCCGUGCCAGCAGCCGCNGUAAUACGGACUGCAGGGUGCAAGCGUUAAUCGGAAUUACUGGGCGUAAAGCGCACGCAGGCCGGUCCGUCAAAGUCGGAUGUGAAAUCCCCCGGGCUCCACCUGGGAACUGCAUUCGAAACUGGCCGGGCCAGAGUCUUGUAGAGGGGGGUAGAAUUCCAGGUGUAGCGGUGAAAAUGCGUAGAGAUCUGGAGGAAUACCGGUGGCGAAGGCGGCCCCCUGGACAAAGACUGACGCUCAGGUGCGAAAGCGUGGGGAGCAAACAGGAUUAGAUACCCUGGUAGUCCACGCCGUAAACGAUGUCGACUUGGAGGUUGUGCCCUUGAGGCGUGGCUUCCGGAGCUAACGCGUUAAGUCGACCGCCUGGGGAGUACGGCCGCAAGGUUAAAACUCAAAUGAAUUGACGGGGGCCCGCACAAGCGGUGGAGCAUGUGGUUUAAUUCGAUGCAACGCGAAGAACCUUACCUACUCUUGACAUCCAGAGAACUUUCCAGAGAUGGAUUGGUGCCUUCGGGAACUCUGAGACAGGUGCUGCAUGGCUGUCGUCAGCUCGUGUUGUGAAAUGUUGAUCGUA
rnacentral:rRNA from 1 species